rnacentral:misc_RNA from 1 species
AUUGAUUUUGGGUGGGGAAAACCUGCCUGGGUCACAAUUCCAAGUGGGGCAUUCAAGAAUGUUAUUUUAAUGAUGGAUAGCAGAGAUGGGGAUGGAAUUGAAGCUUGGGUGACUCUGAGUGAAGAAGACAUGGCAUUUUUUCAACGAGAUCAAGAGCUGCUUGCUUUUGCUUCUUUGAAUCCUAGUGUAAUCUCCACCCCCAUCACCCCCAAGUCUUCUCUUUAAAUAUUAAGAAAUAUAUGCGCGCGUAUUGUUGUUUUGAUUUGUUUUUUUAGGCAAAUCAUGGAUAAUCAAUUAGUCAA